rnacentral:misc_RNA from 1 species
UCGUAACAAGGUUUCCGUAGGUGAACCUGCGGAAGGAUCAUUAGUGAAUAUAGGACGUCCAACUUAACUUGGAGUCCGAACUCUCACUUUCUAACCCUGUGCACUUGUUUGGGAUAGUAACUCUCGCAAGAGAGCGAACUCCUAUUCACUUAUAAACACAAAGUCUAUGAAUGUAUUAAAUUUUAUAACAAAAUAAAACUUUCAACAACGGAUCUCUUGGCUCUCGCAUCGAUGAAGAACGCAGCGAAAUGCGAUAAGUAAUGUGAAUUGCAGAAUUCAGUGAAUCAUCGAAUCUUUGAACGCACCUUGCGCUCCAUGGUAUUCCGUGGAGCAUGCCUGUUUGAGUGUCAUGAAUACUUCAACCCUCCUCUUUCUUAAUGAUUGAAGAGGUGUUUGGUUUCUGAGCGCUGCUGGCCUUUACGGUCUAGCUCGUUCGUAAUGCAUUAGCAUCCGCAAUCGAACUUCGGAUUGACUUGGCGUAAUAGACUAUUCGCUGAGGAAUUCUAGUCUUCGGACUAGAGCCGGGUUGGGUUAAAGGAAGCUUCUAAUCAGAAUGUCUACAUUUUAAGAUUAGAUCUCAAAUCAGGUAGGACUACCCGCUGAACUUAAGCAUAUCA